ensembl:lncRNA
UAAAAGAGUGGUAAGAUUUAACACAGAGCAGAGUUUCACUGUCACAUUUGGUUUUUUAAGAAAUACAGUGUGGUAUCUUAACCAGCGAGCAGUAGACAGAUGUAAAGUUUCCUGUUUCAGCAGAAUUAUUGACACAGCGUGUGUAACCAGCAGUGUGACAUCAGCAUAACCACUGAUUUCUUGGGAAGCCAUUAUAGUUUUUCUGCAGCUGCUACUGCCUAAUUAUCCCAGACUUUUGCAGUGUCAAGUGAAGGAAGCUCCUCUCAUAAGAUUGUAAACUGUGAGUCUGAUGACACUGAGUGUGAGUGGAUGCCCUUCAAGAAAGGAGCAGAAUGCUGAAGAUGAUGCCAGAAGUAAGCCAAGUUCCUGACUUCUCCCAAGACCACUGACCUCUGAAUCAGCUGUUAAGGAGGAUGAAACCGAUGUCAAGAAUGGGACAGCUAUAUAGCAUCAAUUGGUCUCCUACUUCAUUUGAUUCCAUCAUCAUUACACGGCUGCAAGGGACCUGGAAAAAUGUCAUCCUGUCAAGCUGAAAAACAUCUUCAAAAAGGCACUAACAAGAACAGCUUGAUUGCAGAGAUACCUGCUCGCUGAUGGGACAAAGAGGAACAUGGAUGCUACACAACUCAAAUCUACCUGUCAUAUUUGUUCAUGUCUAGGUAAAUUUGAUGAUUUUGUGUUUUAUUAACUACUUUAAGUUUCUGUGCAACACUUAAUGAAUGUGACUGACUAAUUAACCUCUACACAUCUGCUAAUAUGCUUUAAAGUUGCCACUUUGCCCAUUUGUUAAAUAAACGUUGGAAUUUAU